rnacentral:rRNA from 1 species
AUUGAACGCUGGCGGCAUGCCUUACACAUGCAAGUCGAACGGCAGCACGGGAGCAAUCCUGGUGGCGAGUGGCGAACGGGUGAGUAAUACAUCGGAACGUGCCCAGUAGUGGGGGAUAACCCGGCGAAAGCCGGACUAAUACCGCAUACAACCUACGGGUGAAAGCGGGGGAUCGCAAGACCUCGCGCUAUCGGAGCGGCCGAUGUCAGAUUAGCUAGUUGGUGGGGUAAAGGCCUACCAAGGCGACGAUCUGUAGCUGGUCUGAGAGGACGACCAGCCACACUGGGACUGAGACACGGCCCAGACUCCUGCGGGAGGCAGCAGUGGGGAAUUUUGGACAAUGGGCGCAAGCCUGAUCCAGCCAUGCCGCGUGCGGGAAGAAGGCCUUCGGGUUGUAAACCGCUUUUGUCAGGGAAGAAACGCUCCGGGCUAAUACCACGGAGUAAUGACGGUACCUGAAGAAUAAGCACCGGCUAACUACGUG